GUUAUACAGUGAUAUUGAAACUUGAUUUGUUGCCUUUAAUUUUUAGUAUGCGUAUAACUGUACUUGAUUAUUUAUUUAUUUCAUUUUUUAAAAUUCUAGUACAACAUAUGUGGUGGAAACUGUAGAUUUAAAUUUUCUGACCUUAAUGGAAGGAAUAGAUGCCUUCACCACUAUAUUAUGCUCACGUGGUCAUAAUUUUGCUUGCUUAGUUGAUUUUAAACGCAAUUCUACGAUGAGAUUUCCUAUAUGGAUUUGUGGUUUGUUACAAAUAAGAUUUUCUGCAUGGAAAAUACUUUUGUUGUAAUUUUCUUUCAUAAUGUGUAUAAUAACGUAUUUGAAGCAAACAGAAGCAUUGAUAGUUGCAUUGCAUUUAAUCACUUAAGUUGGGUAAGAUUUCUCAUAGUCGUAGUCAUAGUCAAAGACCUCAAAAGUUGGAAUUUAUGUAAUUGAUUUUAGUGAUAAGGCAUUCAGUUUGCCUGAAUUAGAAGUUUGGAAAUUAUGCCCUCGGGAAUUUGGUCGUUAGAAACUGAAUGCUCUUGUUUGUACUUCAUGGUGAAUAGGGAUAGGAUUCAAAUGUAUAAGAAUGAAAGAUAGUUUAGUUUUAUUUAUGUUAUAAGAAACAUGUGAGCUUUCAUUGAGAAUUAUGAUAGAGCAUACAAAUAAAUAGCCUCAACAGGAAGGCAAGAACUACAAGGUUUCAAAUCCAAAAGAAUAAGGCCCUAACCAAGGUAUCAUGUAAUGUCCUCCCACAACUCCUCGGCGUAGCACUCCCUCUUAAAGUUCUAUUAUUUCUUUCAAGCUACAUAUCACAAACAAUUGAAAAAGGAAAAUAAAAAUGAAAAACGUACUAGAUAAACAUGAGAUUCCAUCUCAAAACCAACCAACAACAAGAGGAGUAACUCCCUCCAUAGCGCCAAGGAUCUUAAAAGAAUAUUUCUUAAUCUCUCUCGAUGUUGCUCCUUCCUACCCUUUCUCCUUGUCUUACUAGACCCUUUCUCUACCAACACAACCAUGAGACCUCUCUGAUCACCACAUAUGACGAUGCGUACUCACAGCCCCAGAUAAUUGAGAGAAAAGUUUAUUAUGGCAGUAGAUUUUAUGUAUAGAGGCUCACAUAUUUUUUUAAGAGGAAACAAGUUCCGUUUAUUAAAUUAAUAAUAUAGAGACAGAAGCUCAUAGUACAAGAGGAUUACAAUGAGUGAAAAGAGAGAGAGAUCAAUUGACGCACCCCGACAUCUCAAGUAGGCAGUUUUUUUGACAGAGGUUGACAUGUUAAAAUACCUAAAGCUACAAGAAAAAUUCUUUUAGAAAUUUACUGUGGGUUAUUAUUGUAUUUAUUUAUUUACUUUCUUAUGAAAUGAACAACUUUUAUUGAGAAUAAAUGAAAGAAUACAAGGACAUAAAAAGAUAAAAAACCAAACUCACAAAAAGGAAACUCACCUAGAGAAAUUGGCUUAAGUUAUCUGAAAUGGUACUUAUAGAAUAAUUAUAAAAGAUCCUCAAAAUUGGAGCAAAUACAGAAACAUGAAAAGUACCAAGAGAACAAACAUCAUUAGACGUCCCUCUCCAAUCCUGAAAAAGCUUUGUUAUUUUGUUUGCCCGAGAGAUCCCAUAAUAUAGUGCACACUGCAAAAAAACCAUGAGAACCAGCUUUUCUUCCAAAGGACGAAUGGUAGAGGAACUUCUUAACUAUAUCACUGGUGUCUGUGUCGAGCAAGUGAGAGACCAAAUGCUGGGAGAAAAACGAAGAGUCAAUGAGAUUGCUAAGCUAGCAUGAAGAAGGAAAAUGGUUGUUAUGGUUCGAUAAGAAGUGGAGAGACCAGUUCCCUGAGAGGGUUAGAAGUUAGUAAUGUAAGAAUUCACAAUAAAGUUUUGUUUGUCAAAUGGCUUUGAUGUUUUCCCUUGAGUCCAACUCUCUACAAUAUAUAUUAAUUAUAGAUGGGUUUAUGUGGAAGAAGUCUUUGUUAAUGGGGUCAUUUUGUUGUAUUAUUUGUCGAAAGGCGGUGAAAGACUCGAAUCACAUUCUUUAGAGUUGUCAAUGUGGAAUUGCUUCUUUUAGGUGUUUGAUUUCAAGCUUGCUCAUCGGGUAGAUGUUUGGGAGACGAUCAGGGAGUUCCUUCUCCAUUCACCUUUUAGAGAGAGACCAAUUUCUUUGGUUAGUUGAGUUAUAUGCUAUUUUGUGGGAUAUUGAGGGGGUAACAAGAUGCUUAGGGGUAUGGAGAAGACCUUGGUGUUGGAAUUUAUGUCCUAAAACUCGUAGUUCGUAGUUGAAAAUCAUAUUCUAUUAAAUAGAGUUGUUGUUGAGGAAUUAUUAGUGAAACUGAUAGUACAAGCAAUGUGAUUCUGAAUCGUUCAUGUACAUGAAAGUGGAGACAUCCUAUGUAAAAAAUUUACAUAAAACUAAAUUAUGAAAUGGUCAGUUUUACGUAAUAACACCGUUUACUAUAUAAAACUGACUAUUUUGAUUAUUGAUGACUUAGGUAACUUAAUUUUAAUCUUGAGCUAACUAUGAAUUACUGUUCACACGGGAUUAUCCUUAGAUUUGCAUAGGUGAAGGCAGCACAUCAGUGUUGGCCCAAUAAGCCUUCCAUUUCACGGUAAGUCCAAGUGGAUAACUGGAAACAUAGGAUGCAAGAUGGAAUUCCUUUUUGACUAACUUUAGAGUUAGUAGAUAUGUUGUUCUCUUAUGCACUGAAUCUAGGUCUUGAACAAGGGGCCUCACCCUCUAAUUGGUCCAAGAGGGAUUCAAUUUAUUGGUUGGACCUUAAACCGAUUGUUUAUUAAAGAAUCAAUGGGACUUGAGGAAUAAGAUUUAAUAUUGGGGGUAAAACAAUAUUUUGACCCAGUCGAGAUUACGAACAACCUGUGAAGGACUAACUUACCGAUCAUAGUUUUAUAUUAAACGGAUACAAAUAUAUCUAUAAUGAGGGGAGUGCAACUGUGAGACUUUAGUGGAAUGAUCUGUUAGUUAACGAAUGUUGAUUAGCUCGGUCUAAAAGAGUUUAGCCAGUUAACCUCGAAUCGUGGAGCCCAUAAUCUAUAGGUCCAUUAGGUUCUUCUGCUAGCUCAUAUGAAAUUAAGUAAUUAACUUAGAACAGUAUGAUGAAUGAUUCGAAUUGUUCGAACUAGGUAAUGAAAAAGAAACUGACAAGUAUAUGUGAUAUAGCUGUUGGUUAUUAGUUUAGAGAUGUAGUUUUUAUGUUUAAAUAUGAUUUAAAUAUAUAAAAUAAUACAGAUUCAUAUUUGGAAGCUCUAAAAUUAUGGAAAUGGUCAAAACUGUAAAAGUCAACCACUUUUGACUUUGAAAAGUCAAAUUUUGACCGACAAUUCAUUCAAAUGUGAUUUGAAUUUCGAGAAAAUGAAUGUGGAUUCAUGCUCGAGAGGUCGGAAUCAGUUAAAACAAACAAAAUGGUAAAAAGUCAAAAUGUUGACUUUUUUUGUCAAAGUUUGACUUUGACUAAUUUUAGGAUAAGACCAUUUUGCUCUUAGUGGGAAAAUCCAACCAAUUUGUUGAAGGUUAGUGGGCUAGGUGUUGCCUUAUUGUGAAGACAAAAAGCUCACUAAAUGUUGGUGGGUUAUGUGUUGUUGUGUUUUGGUGAAGCACAAAUAUGCAUAUUACAUGGUUUUUUCUUAUAAUUUGUGUUUUCAAAAUGAUUUUGGGGUUGGCCCUUUUGGUUACUCUCUCAAGUGGGUUGGAUUUAUCCACUCACUUAUUGUUUGUAUAAUAAUUUUUCUUCACCAAGAUAUCUCUGAACCCUAAGCCCAAUUCCUCAACUUCCAUCUCUUUCUCUGUCUUGGUUCCUUCAUCCAUCGGGUCCCAGAAUCCAAUUUGGAGUCGGGAGAAUAGUAGGUCAACUCUAAUGGUGGAGAAUAGUAGGUCAACUCUAAUGGUGGACUGGUUGAUGUUUGAAUGGAGAAUUGAGCAAUUACAGAGCUACGAAGGGAUGCAAUCAGUUCGACUUGGCUUGGUUUGAGUCUCGAACCGAAACCGAACUGCCAUAUAUUACUAUGGAAAUGGGAAAAUCGCACCGAACUGCCUAUGAAUACUAAUCGAACCGAUGAGAACCAGUUUCUUUGGUUUGCUUUUUGGUUCUCAUUAGUAAUGGACUGGUUUUGUCCCUCCAAGUGAGGGCCGACGAGCCCAUUUCGUAUUAUUGGAUCAGGCCCAAAGCAAGUCAAGGAAAUUUGUGGAACUCGCGUGUAAGCAUAUUAAAAAAUAAAAGAUUUGUGUUCACCCAGACUCGAGCAUGCACACAAGAGCAUUUAAUUGAAUGGCACUGCUACUAGAGAUGCGUCUCUUCAUUGGUUAAAAUAUUGGUUUUUUAAUAUAAUUAUAGUUUUGGUCAGCUCGGUUAUGGUUUAUUUGGUCAACCAAAAUUUUGAUCAGUUUUUGAACUUUAAAACUUGAACCUUUGAACCAAACUGUUAGUAAAUCGAGCUGACAUCAGUUUUGGUCGGUUUUUAUUGAUUUUCAAUUUGUCCUUGCACUCUAGUUCUUGGUGAGGUUCCAUGUUUCUCUUUGGGCUUGUUCUCACAGACUUAUUUCUAAGUAUCCUCUAAGUAGCAUUUUACAUGGAAACUCUUUCUCUAGAGGGGCUUUGUCGACUUGCUUUUAUUGUUGCUCUUGUGUUCUUUAAUUUUUUUUCUCAAUGAAAGCAAUUUUUAGAUCAAAAUAUAUAUAUUUUAUUAAGUACA